rnacentral:rRNA from 1 species
GGGGCUGCGUGGGUGUCCUCCCCUCGUGUCGUGAGAUGUUGGGUUAAGUCCCGUAACGAGCGCACCCCUUGUCCUUUUUUCCCCCCACGUUAAGGUGGGCACUCUAAGGAGACUGCCGGUGACAAACCGGAGGAAGGGGGGGAUGACGUCAAGUCAUCGUGGCCCUUACGGCCGGGGCUACACACGUGCUACAAUGGUCGGUACAAAGGGUUGCCAACCCGCGAGGUGGAGCUAAUCCCAUAAAACCGAUCGUAUUCCGAAUCGCACUCUGCAACUCCCCUGCGUAAAGUCGGAAUCGC